UACGAAGGGGGCUAGCGUUGCUCGGAAUCACUGGGCGUAAAGCGCACGUAGGCGGAUUGUUAAGUCGGGGGUGAAAUCCUGGAGCUCAACUCCAGAACUGCCUUCGAUACUGGCGAUCUUGAGUCCGGGAGAGGUGAGUGGAACUCCGAGUGUAGAGGUGAAAUUCGUAGAGAUCAUGAGGAAGACCAGUGGCGAAGGCGGGUCUCUGGACAGUUCCUGACACUGAGGCACGAAGGCCAGGGGAGCAAACGGG
rnacentral:rRNA from 1 species